CGCUGUGGGGAGUCUGAGGGGGUGGGGUGUUGCUGCGGGACGCGGUUGGGUGUAGACGGCACGGAGAGCUAUGGAAAAGCAGGGAUGAAGCGCUCCAGAAAACAGUGUCAUCGAUUUUAUUUCCCAAUAAACUCCAUGAGCAGCUUAUUUUCAUAUUUGCUCAUGCUGAAUGAACUUUACAGCAAUAUAAUUCCAUUGACUUCUACAGUGCUAUCCUUAUCUGCAUAACAGUAAGCGAUAAUGGAUUAAGCCCAGCAGCUGAACUUUACAUUUAUCUCCCUUCCAGAUUUAUUUGUUUUUAUGUAUUUCAUAAUCACAUAUUUGAUCACGAAUUACUGCACAGAUCCCUGGCUCAUUAAACGUACCAGAAAACUACUGAAGAGUCUUAUAUUGCACAUCCACUUAUACUGGAUGCCUCAAGCUGGCUAGUCUGACUGGAACUCAUCUCAUUCAUCUCCUAAGAGUAAACACCACACCCAGACAAUAAAACUGUGGAAAAAAGACUUCGCUGUUCAGCUUGAACAGAGGCGAAACUUUUUGUAGUAUCUUGGCUCACUUUCAGAUUCCAAAAUAAUAUGGCACAUUAAACUAGGUGACAGAAUACUUAUCCAUGAGCAACUCUGAAGAAGGGAAUCUAAUUUAAUCACAGCAAAUCAACUAAUGACGGAAAUUCUAUUGUAAGAGUACUGCAAUUUUGCAGCACAGAUAAAAUAACAAUUAAGAAAA